ACUCCUACGGGAGGCAGCAGUGGGGAAUAUUGCACAAUGGGGAAACCCUGAUGCAGCCAUGCCGCGUGUGUGAAGAAGGCCUUCGGUUGUAAAGCACUUUCAGUAGGGAGGAAGGUAGUGUAGUUAACACCUGCAUUAUUUGACGUUACCUACAGAAGAAGCACCGGCUAACUCCGUGCCAGCAGCCGCGGUAAUACGGAGGGGUGCGAGCGUUAAUCGGAAUUACUGGGCGUAAAGCGCAUGCAGGCGGCCUGUUAAGUCAGAUGUGAAAGCCCGGGGGCUUAACCUCGGAAUUGCAUUUGAAACUGGCAGGCUAGAGUCUUGUAGAGGGGGUAGAAUUUCAGGUGUAGCGGUGAAAUGCGUAGAGAUCUGAAGGAUACCAGUGGCGAAGGCGGCCCCUGGACAAAGACUGACGCUCAGAUGCGAAAGCGUGGGGAGCAAAC
rnacentral:rRNA from 1 species